rnacentral:miRNA from 14 species
ACUUUAACAUGGAGGCCCUCGC